ACGUCAGCAAGCUCUAUUUGAUCACACGAACACUAGCGCGAGUUUUUCCUCACACAAAAUUACACGCUAAUUCAAAGGCUAUUCAAAUUGCAUAUGCAUAUCAAAUUGGGUAAAACGGGUUGUUGAUACCCGGAGCAAACGAAGUUUUCGGACCUCUUUUAGUCAAACCCGUACUUAUUUUUCUGGGUUAGCUUUAAGCUGAAAUUGUUUUAUUUUGUUAAUUUUUGUAUGUGUUUUACAAUAUUAGGUUACUUACAUUUGAUAGUCCUGCAUGUACAAUUCAUCCGUUCUUUGUGUAUCAAUAGUGUAUUCCAUUAUUUCGGGAGUAAUUUGCGAAUAGGGCGUAAUUAACAACGCAAUAACAAUGCGAAAACAACAACCGAAUUUUGCUGAUCAAAUUUUAAUUCCUAUUUUGAAGUAAUACAGAAUAAUUCAACUUAAAUAAGGUUAAUUGAUACAGUUCUGACAUAGUUUCUUGUUUUUCUAAGAACACUGCACGAAUUCGAUAUUUUUUGCACUAAAAAUUGCAUUUAUUUAAUUACGCCUGAAUUGAUACCUGAGAAUGCUAAUUUCGCCCAAUACUAUGCGCCUCGAAUCGAUCACGGAGAAAAAUAAUUAGUAAACACAAACAAAUUUCAGUUUGAUUUAACCGGAUUCUUAUGUUGAAUAGACCAUUCCCGUCUGACCUUACCCCCCUUUUUUAUAUUUUUCUUCGAAAGACACGCGUUUUUAAUGACUAUUACCGCUUUCAGAUUUUUUUUAUAUGCACUCCUGAUUUUCAUACAAAUUUUGAAAAAUUGGGAAUUUCACCACAUUUUGAAAUAAAAUUCACCAUGCGAAGUAAUUUUUGGCUGCUUUUGGCAGCCCUGAAAUGGUGAUCGUUUUUUUUUCACCUCAGAAAAUUAGCAACGUCUGGGACCCCUUCUUAUGUUUACAUUCAGAAAUGUCAAACUACUCAAGUGAGUUCCGAGCUGCGGAUAACAAUUUCGUCCUGGAUCGUACCUGCGGACAGUUUGGUUAUUGUACGAGGUGGAUCGUAUGCUGGAUGUGGGCUUCGAACCGCAAAUUCGAAAACUCCUGUUGGACAUCCGGCCCGAUUGGCAGACUAUCAUGACGAGUGCGACGUGGCCACCGGUUUGUUCAAAGCUGCAUAAACAAACCGAUCCUGGUGUACGUUGGAGAGCCCAAGGACAAUGUCAUCAUCUUUUGCGGCCGGAAGACGAGGGCUGAUGAUCUGUCGAGCGAACUUGUUCUGUCCGGCAUAAAUUGUACCAGCUUACACGGCGAUCGGGAGCAGGCUGACCGUGAGCAGACCCUGGAGGCAAUCAAUUCCGGCGAUGUGUGGGUCCUUUUCGCGACGGAUGUGGCCUCACGAGGGACAUCCAUGACAUUGCACACGUUGUGAAUUACGACUUCCUGUGGAAUUGGAGUAGUACGUAGAAUUGAAGAGUACGUGCACCGAUUGAACCGGACAAAUCGCGCCGCCCCGAAGUGUAGUUUUCCCGAACUUCUUCUCGCGAAACGACUGGGCGGUCACCCUCAUUCUUGUUUUCGAUCGAAUCCACUUUCGAACGAAAAUCGUCCGCAUUCCCGUUUACGCCAUCAAAAUCAAAUGGGCUACGGAUUCGAACGAACCAAAUACGUUCGAAAGCAGAUACGCCCGUAAACAAGAAUGAGGGUGGGUGUCUUCGGACCUGAUAAAAAUUUUGGAGGAAGCCGAGCAGGCAGUACCGAACGAGAUUUGCCAGAUGGCUGGCCGAUUCGCGGCCAAGAAGCGAGAAGGCCGGGAAAAAGUACCUUUUGUGGACAGCAUGACGACGGUGGUGGUCGAUAGUAAUUUUAAUUAGUGCUGCUUCAGAACCUUACCAAAUUGUUGCGUUCUCUAACAAUAAAAAUAUAAAUUUUAUCGACGUUUGAGCCGAAUUAUUUCUUAUUAUCCUGGAGGUUAGACCAUCAGUAUCUUACUUUAUCGAUUACUGACUAAAGUAUACUGCCCAUGAUCGCAUAUCAGUCCCAUAUUUACUGGGUUUCUUAUUCAUAUGGGACAAUUAUGCGAUCAUAGGCAGUAUAGGCAAUUACUUUUAAAUCCGGUUUGUCGAUUGGUUUAAAUUAUUUCAGAAUACCUAUUUCACAAUACUCUUCGACGAUGAUUGUUAAUAUUUACAGAUAAGAAUGUACAAAGCAACCUGAUCUAUUUUCAAAGCAGAUGUAUUGUGUGUCACCAAACAACUUCGGAGGACUUGGUGAACCUUUUCCUCGACGUUCUGAUGACUAGGACGAAUAACCAGAAAGCAAAUUGAUCUAAUUUUGAAGCAGAUGUAUUGUGUGUCACCAAACAACUUCGGAGGACUUGGUGAACCUUUUUCUCGACGUUCUGAUGACUAGGAUUAAUAACUACAAAGCAAAUUGAUCUAAUUUUAAAGCAGAUGUAUUGUGUGUCACCAAAACAACUUCGGAGGACUUGGUGAACCUUUUCCUCGACAUUCUGAUGACUAGGACGAAUAACUACAAAGCAAAUUGAUCUAAUUUUAAAGCAGAUGUAUUGUGUGUCACCAAACAACUUCGGAGGACUUGGUGAACCUUUUUCUCGACGUUCUGAUGACUAGGAUGAAUAACUACAAAGCAAAUUGAUCUAAUUUUGAAGCAGAUGUAUUGCGUGUCACUAAACAACUUCGGAGGACUUGGUGAACCUUUUCCUCGACGUUCUGAUGACUUGGACGAAUAAUCAGUGUGAUACUCCGAAUAGCAAAUCAAUAAUUAAAUGUAUUUUACUAACAAAUUAAUUCUUUUUAUUUCUCCACUUUUGUACACACGUUAAUCUCGAGUCCACUUGGUAUUCUGACAGCCCAACACAGGGCCGUCCCCAGACCCCAUUACAUCAGCAUAUAAUAUCAGGCCUGCACUCAGGCACCACAUCUCCCCUUUUACAAUAGCAAGACUUCAUCCAGGUCACUACAACAAGUAAUCUUCAAAUCGAGUAGGCUUCCUCACAACACGCCGCUGUCGAGCCAAAGGACACGGCCCAGGCCCAGUCUCGAACUCUGCUUCAAGGUCAAAUCCAUGGAAUUCAUUUUCUGAAUCGGAAGACUCGGGCAGUUGUUUAUCAUCAUUGAUGGGGUUCUCUUUCUCCGUUGUUGGGAUCGUCUCCGUUGGGUCCACCACGCCAUCGGACACUUUUUUUAGAUGAGCAACAUUCCGGUCGUACGAUUUGCCCGUCGCUGGAUCUUCGAUAGUUACCCGCGGUCCGGAUCGUUGCGUAAUAACAUACUCCUUUGGAUUGAACGUCGUUGUCAACUUGUUCCCCGGCAAAAGAUUUUGCAUGAGUACUGUAUCACCUGCCGAUAAAGACGACUUCCUAGCUCGGCGCCGGAGGUCCUCCAACUGUUUCCCCUUGUCUUUCAGAACACGGUCUCUGUCCCGAACGCCAUCGUCUGUUGGUUUCGUCUCAACAUCUUCCAAAGCGGGUAUCUUGGAUCGUAUUGUUCUCCCGUAUAACAGUUCUGUUGGAGUUCUGCCCGUGAUCGAAUGAGGUGUGGUGUAAUACACAAGGAUGGAAAUCUAGUGAUCAUGAUAAGAUCCCGAAUGUGUCGCGGUUGGAGCGCAUCGCGCGAUCAUAGCAACAACGAUAGAGCGUUGUCGUCAAGCAUUAUAACAAACCACGCUCCGCGAAAAUUGAAUCGCGAGGCAUGUGCGGCCAUGAUAUGAUCGUUAUCAUGAAGUCUGUGGUACCUUGUGGUAUGCACAUAAUAAAUUAUUGUAUUACUCUAUUACGUUUAGCGUGUAUGUUUACAUUGAGUAUCUGUCAUAUGUGGAGAUGUUGUUAUUGUUGUCUGGAGUGUGAAUCAUUGUAUGUAAUAUUGAAGUAUCGGUAAUAAAGUGUAUACAAAUAAUGAAUACAGUUGUUGAUUACAGAGAAAGAUUCUCACAUUGGCGACGAGAACGGUGAACAGUGCAUGUGAAAUUAAUUUAAUGUCGGUUCGGGAAGUGUUGUCUUUGGAAAAAGAAAGAGAUGAGUGGUGUGUGUGUGUAAGGUGCAUGCAGAGUGGUGAUGACCUCCAGGUGAUGACUUGUAAUUGAAUUUCAACAUUGGAAUCAAAAAGGUACAACCACAAGUAACGGCCAAGUAAUUUACCAAAAUGCCGAGCAGAGAUGGAUGACCAAAUGGAUGACUGUACUACUAAUUCUGAUGUGACACUGAAGCGAGACGUUCAUAAACUGAUGAGACUAUAAGCGAAAACAACGUGGAGUGACCUUGCUGCGGAUCUGGAGAAAAAACGAGAUGUGGUACCUUGUGGUAUGCACAUAAUAAAUUAUUGUAUUACUCUAUUACGUUUAGCGUGUAUGUUUACAUUGAGUAUCUGUCAUAUGUGGAGAUGUUGUUAUUGUUGUCUGGAGUGUGAAUCAUUGUAUGUAAUAUUGAAGUAUCGGUAAUAAAGUGUAUACAAAUAAUGAA